rfam:Gorilla gorilla gorilla genomic chromosome, chr8, whole genome shotgun sequence
GCUGGGCAUGGUGGUGCAUGCCUGUAAUCCCAGCUACUUGGGAGACUGAGGCAUGAGAAUUGCUUGAACCCGGGAAGCAGAUGUUGCAGUGAGCCGAGAUCACGCCACUGCACUCUCACCUGGGUGACAGAGUGAUAUUCUGUCUCAA